rnacentral:rRNA from 1 species
UAAACCAAUUGGCGGGGGAGCGCCACAAGGGGUGGAUGUUGCGGUUUAAUUGGAUACAACGCCUGGAAUAUCACCGGAGCGGACAGCAGGAUGAAGGCCAGGCUGAAGACCUUGCCAGACAAGCCGAGAGGUGUUGCAUGGCCAUCGUCAGCUCGUGCCGUGAGGUGUCCGGUUAAGUCCGGCAACGAGCGAGACCCGCGCUGCUAGUUGCUACUCGAAAGGGAGCACUCUAGCAGGCCUGCCUGCGUUAAAGCGGGAGGAAGGUGCGGGCGACGGCUGGUCUGUAUGCCCCGAAUCUCCUGGGCUACACGCGGCCUACAUUGGUAGGGACAACGGGAGGCGACUCUGAAAAGGGAAGCUAAUCCCUUAAACCCUAUCUCGGUUCGGAUCGAGGGUUGAAACCCACUCUCGUGAAGGUGGAAUUCCUAGUAAUCGCGGGUCACUAUCCCGCGGUGAAUGCGUCCCCGCCCCUUGCACACACUGCCUGUCACGCCAUCCGAGCGAGGUCUUAGUGAGGCUCAUUCCAAAAGGGGUGAGUCGAACUAGGGCUUCGUGAGGCGGGCGAAGUCACAACAAGGUAGCCGUAGGGGAACCUGCGGCUA